GGGGAUAUAGCUCAGUGGUAGAGCGCUCGCUUUGCAUGGUCUAAAGUGCCUGCGAGAAGUCCAGGUUUCGAUCACCUGUAUCUCCA
rfam:Pseudomassariella vexata strain CBS 129021 BCR38scaffold_27, whole genome shotgun sequence.